rnacentral:rRNA from 1 species
UACGGAGGGUGCAAGCGUUAAUCGGAAUUACUGGGCGUAAAGCGCACGUAGGUGGUUUGGUAAGUCGAGUGUGAAAUCCCCGGGCUCAACCUGGGCACUGCAUUCGAGACUGCCAAGCUAGAGUAUGGUAGAGGGUAGUGGAAUUCCCGGUGUAGCGGUGAAAUGCGUAGAUAUCGGGAGGAACAUCAGUGGCGAAGGCGACUACCUGGACUGAUACUGACACUGAGGUGCGAAAGCGUGGGGAGCAAAC